CCAGACUCCUACGGGAGGCAGCAGUGGGGGAUAUUGGACAAUGGGGGGAGCCCUGAUCCGGCGACGCCGCGUGAGUGAAGAAGUAUUUCGGUAUGUAAAGCUCUGUCAGCAGGGAAGAAAGCAAUGACGGUACCUGACCAAGAAGCCCCGGCUAACUACGUGCCAGCAGCCGCGGUAAUACGUAGGGGGCAAGCGUUAUCCGGAUUUACUGGGUGUAAAGGGAGCGUAGACGGCCAUGCAAGUCUGAUGUGAAAGCCCGGGGCUCAACCCCGGGACUGCAUUGGAAACUGUGCGGCUGGAGUGUCGGAGAGGCAAGUGGAAUUCCUAGUGUAGCGGUGAAAUGCGUAGAUAUUAGGAGGAACACCAGUGGCGAAGGCGGCUUGCUGGACGACGACUGACGUUGAGGCUCGAAAGCGUGGGGAGCAAACAGGAUUAGAUACCCGAGUA
rnacentral:rRNA from 1 species